rnacentral:rRNA from 1 species
GAUGAACGCUGGCGGCGUGCCUAAUACAUGCAAGUCGAGCGAACAGAUAAGGAGCUUGCUCCUUUGACGUUAGCGGCGGACGUGUGAGUAACACGUGGAUAACCUACCUAUAAGACUGGGAUAACUUCGGGAAACCGGAGCUAAUACCGGAUAACAUAUUGAACCGCAUGGUUCAAUAGUGAAAGGCGGCUUUGCUGUCACUUAUAGAUGGAUCCGCGCCGUAUUAGCUAGUUGGUAAGGUAACGGCUUACCAAGGCAACGAUACGUAGCCGACCUGAGAGGGUGAUCGGCCACACUGGAACUGAGACACGGUCCAGACUCCUACGGGAGGCAGCAGUAGGGAAUCUUCCGCAAUGGGCGAAAGCCUGACGGAGCAACGCCGCGUGAGUGAUGAAGGUCUUCGGAUCGUAAAACUCUGUUAUCAGGGAAGAACAAAUGUGUAAGUAACUGUGCACAUCUUGACGGUACCUGAUCAGAAAGCCACGGCUAACUACGUG